rnacentral:lncRNA from 1 species
GUCAAUGGGGAUUAUUCGUUGGACCUAUCGACUUGUAAUCUAUGAGGACCCGGUUUCAACACCGCGCCACCGGUGAUUAAAAUAGUGGCUUUUGGACACUGUUGCCACCGGUUAUUAGAAUAGUAGUUUUUGGAUACUGUUGCCGCUGAUGGUUAACAAUAAUGGCUUUUAACACUUUGUGCGACUCAUGCCACUGGGUUACGUGGUCAUUGCCUAUUGAUGUUGGAAUUUUGGUAUCAGAGAUUUUGUGAAAAUGAUAAUAAGUUUCGAAAAGAAAAAUAUGUUAUAUGUAAUUUAUUUUUUAGUUAUGAUUUUGUGCUUUGAUUAAAUAUGUGGCAUGCUUUGACCCCACUUUGGGGUAUUAUGUUGCUUACUGGGCUAGUGUAACUCAUUAUCUUAUUUUUUCUAUUUUUUCAGAUCCAGUGGCAAGAUCACACGGGAUUGGGGAGUGCGCUAGAUUUGGAAGAUUUUGCCGAAUUAUUGGAAUUUUAGUUAGACU